GUAAAUGUGAUGAGUGACUCCACCAGGGUGUGCAGGUUGGUUAUUCCUCCAUGGCUGAAUUCACUAUCACUGACUCUUUGAACUGUCAGCAAUCCCGUCAUCUGCUAAUUAAGGAUCUGAAGUUUCAAUUGCAACAAACCUUAUCAAAACCUGUUAUUCGCACUGUACGUUCUGCCCUACUAAGCAUGCAGUGGCACAUCAUGGCUCAUAGAAAGUGA
rnacentral:lncRNA from 1 species